GCCGGAGUGGUGGAACGGCAGACACGGAGCACUCAAAAUGCUUUGCUCGAAAGGGCGUGCGGGUUCAAAUCCCGCCUCCGGCA
rnacentral:tRNA from 1 species